UCAGCACCAAGGAGUUUCCGAUCUCGAUAUAGAUCCGUGAGGAAGAGACUAUUGACAAGAGUGGAUUUACCCAGGCCAGACUCUCCUGAUAGGACAGAGGCACCAAGUCAGAAGCCCCUGAACCGUAACAGAAUCUGGUUCUAGACCCCGGGAGAGAAGAGUAAACCUGGUGGAUGCUGAAUAUGGAGAGCAACCAGAAAGAAUCAGCCCCAGCUGUGUUCCAAGUGUGGACACAGAAACAUCUCAGAAGGCAGCUUGGCUAGCUUACCCUCAGCUGUGGCUGGAAUCUCAGGCUCUUCUCUGGCACCUACUGUUCAGGCUCCAGAAAGCCCUUGUACAUUCUGAUGAGAGUUGGUACCAUCUUGCCUUGAGAGAAGUUCCUUAGGUCUUAGAACUCAGCUCUAAGCCAAGUGUCUCAGGGUUUUGAUGGAGUCUAGUCCCUAACUAACUACUGGCCUAUAGACCCAAUAUGAAGCAUGAUAGCUGAGACAAAAGCUGAAGACUGUUUCAUUCCAUCUGUGUAAGUCCUAUAUGCUAACUCUGUAGCAUUUAAAUGGCUGUAAGAGAACUUGGCUUUAGCAGAAAUCCCAUGCCAACUUUGACUAUUAGCUGCCUGAAAGUCCCUUGCUCUUCCUGGGACCCUCUUUCCCUCACUGAAGGAGGCUGGGCUCCCCACAACUCCAGCUCUCUUCUUCUGUGUUGACAGAGGUAGGAUCCCAUACCUGGUUGGCAGAGUUGAGAUACAGCAAUCCUUAAAUAAAUCAC